UACGUAGGGUCCAAGCGUUAUCCGGAAUCACUGGGCGUAAAGCGUGCGUAGGUGGUCUGUUAAGUGAGAUGUGAAAGCGUGUGGCUCAACCAUAUCGUUGUGUUUCAUACUGGCAGACUAGAGGACGGCAGAGGCAAGUGGAAUUGGCAGUGUAACAGUGAAAUGCGUAGAGAUUGCCAGGAACACCAAUGGCGGAGGCAGCUCUCUGGGUCUCUACCGACGCUGGGGUGCGAAAGCAUGGGGAGCGAACAGG
rnacentral:rRNA from 1 species